AAGUCGUAACAAGGUUUCCGUAGGUGAACCUGCGGAAGGAUCAUUAACGAGUUAGGGUCCCUCGCGGCCCGACCUCCCAACCCUUUGUCUACCUGACCACUGUUGCUUCGGCGAGCCCGUCUGUAAUGGACCGCCGGGGGGUACCUUGAUCGGCCCUCUGGUCCGCGCUCGUCGAUAGCCAAACUUUUUAAAAUCUUAACCAAACGUGUCUCAAUCUAAGUAUUAUUUGUUAAAUAAAAGCAAAACUUUCAACAACGGAUCUCUUGGUUCUG
rnacentral:misc_RNA from 1 species